CCUCAUCUCUUAACAUGUAGUCCCUCCGUCCUAAAAUAAAAUUUAUGUUGUACAUUUAGUGGAUUUAUACAAUAAUCAAUGUAUGUGUUUUGCACAUGUGUCUAGAAUAGAUUCAUUAUCAUAUAUUUAGAUACAGGUAUAAAAAACCAGGUUGUAAAGUGAUUACUAAUUUAAAACUGAGGGACUAUAACAUAUUAACAUGGCAACCUUUGAGAGACGGGAAAAAAUACACGAUACUCACUUUAGAUCCUUCUCGUUUGUCUUCCUUGCUAGUGGGGAAGGAAAAAAAAAAGCAGCCACAUCACAUGAUGAAAGAUCAGGAGAGAUGCUCAAUGAAAUUGUGUUCCCGGCAUGAUCGAUCAGAUCUUGCUGAUCUUGACCGCAACCUCUCCAACAAAUCCUGGCUCAGUCAAACAAUGAAAAAGUCCAUCACAUUUCCUCCUAUAAUUGCCUCCCCUGAACACGUGUCCUCUGCUUAAAAAAAACUAGUCAUGUAAAACAGUCAAGUCAUCCUCCAUUCCUUUGGACAUCUCCAGAAGCCGGUGGCAGCUAGUAAAAUAUGAUGUGUUGUUCUAGCGCAUGUGAUUGUUGCAGAUAUCAGGUGAGAGUGAGACGGUGGGGGAGGUGAAAGCAGUGGCUGAU
rnacentral:lncRNA from 1 species